CGCGCAGGCGGCCUCUUAAGUCUGAUGUGAAAGCCCCCGGCUCAACCGGGGAGGGCCAUUGGAAACUGGGAGGCUUGAGUAUAGGAGAGAAGAGUGGAAUUCCACGUGUAGCGGUGAAAUGCGUAGAUAUUAGGAGGAACACCAGUGGCGAAGGCGGCUUGCUGGACGAUAACUGACGCUGAGGCGCGAAAGCGUGGGGAGCAAACAGGAUUAGAUACCCGCGUA
rnacentral:rRNA from 1 species